rnacentral:rRNA from 1 species
GAUGAACGCUGGCGGCGUGCCUAAUACAUGCAAGUCGAGCGAAUGGAUUAAGAGCUUGCUCUUAUGAAGUUAGCGGCGGACGGGUGAGUAACACGUGGGUAACCUGCCCAUAAGACUGGGAUAACUCCGGGAAACCGGGGCUAAUACCGGAUAACAUUUUGAACCGCAUGGUUCGAAAUUGAAAGGCGGCUUCGGCUGUCACUUAUGGAUGGACCCGCGUCGCAUUAGCUAGUUGGUGAGGUAACGGCUCACCAAGGCAACGAUGCGUAGCCGAGCUGGGAGGGUGAUCGGCCACACGGAGACAGAGACCCGGCCCAGACUCCUACGGGAGGCAGCAGUAGGGAAUCUUCCGCAAUGGACGAAAGUCUGACGGAGCAACGCCGCGUGAGUGAUGAAGGCUUUCGGGUCGUAAAACUCUGUUGUUAGGGAAGAACAAGUGCUAGUUGAAUAAGCUGGCACCUUGACGGUACCUAACCAGAAAGCCACGGCUAACUACGUGCCAGCAGCCGCGGUAA